rnacentral:misc_RNA from 1 species
GUAGGUGAACCUGCGGAAGGAUCAUUAACACGUAUCCAACGUUAAAACCCCCCCCGUGAACUUUCAAUCCUGCUCUUGUAACCCGCGUAGUUCGCAAUCUCUGGUAAAUCAUAGCCCGGAAAGUUGUUUUGAUUCAGAGACCUCUGGCUACGUGAGAACAUUGGAACAGUUACAAUCGAGCGGUAGUUUCAUAGGCAUUGUUUCCCCAAGCAGUCAGUGUCGGAAAGUGUCACUGAUUGUGCAAGGAUAG